CCUACGGGAGGCAGCAGUGGGGAAUAUUGCACAAUGGGGGAAACCCUGAUGCAGCGACGCCGCGUGAGUGAAGAAGUACUUCGUUAUGUAAAGCUCUAUCAGCAGGGAAGAAAAUGACGGUACCUGAGUAAGAAGCCCCGGCUAACUACGUGCCAGCAGCCGCGGUAAUACGCAGGGGGCAAGCGUUAUCCGGGUUUACGGGGUGUAAAGGGAGCGUAGACGGCAGUGCAAGUCUGGAGUGAAAGGCGGGGGCUCAACCCCCGGACUGCUCUGGAAACUGUACGGCUGGAGUGCAGGAGAGGUAAGUGGAAUUCCUGGUGUAGCGGUGAAAUGCGUAGAUAUUAGGAGGAACACCAGUGGCGAAGGCGGCUUACUGGACUGUAACUGACGUUGAGGCACGAAAGCGUGGGGAGCGAACAGGAUUAGAUACCCCUGUAGUC
rnacentral:rRNA from 1 species